AAAACCUUUAUUUAUAAAAUAAGAUUUAGAUGAUAAAAAUCUUUUUGAUUAAAAUGUUAUAUGAAGAGGUCUGUAUUAGAAAAAUUUCAAGAUAAAACUGUUCCACCAAGUGAUUGUAUAAUAAGCAUUAUUAUAGCCCCAACAAUUCCAGAUUUCUCAAGUGUGUCCAUGUCUAGCUCAAUGAUGCUCAUCAUUCAACCUUCCAACAAUUUUCAUUGUGCUUAUUGGCCAAUUCUUGAUGUCCAACAAGCACAGUGGAAUAGAAAUAGCAUUCACCAUAUUGAUUCCUUUUACAGAUUCAACAAGAUAAAUUAACCAUUUGAAUAUGAUUUAAGAACUGCUUUAAGAAAAUUUUAUUUGAAUAAUAGAAAUUAGUUAAUAUAAAAAGAUGAUACAUGAUGAACUCUGAG
rnacentral:lncRNA from 1 species